GCCGACGUGGUGGAAUUGGUAUACACGCGCGACUCAAAAUCGCGUGUCGAAAGACAUGUGGGUUCGACUCCCACCGUCGGCA
rnacentral:tRNA from 1 species